GACGAACGCUGGCGGCGUGCUUAACACAUGCAAGUCGAACGGAAAGGCCCUGCUUUUGUGGGGUGCUCGAGUGGCGAACGGGUGAGUAACACGUGAGUAACCUGCCCUUGACUUUGGGAUAACUUCAGGAAACUGGGGCUAAUACCGGAUAGGAGCUCCUCUGCCUGGGUGGGGGUUGAAAGGUUCGGCGGUUGGGGAUGGACUCGCGGCUUAUCAGCUUGUUGGUGGGGUAGUGGCUUACCAAGGCUUUGACGGGUAGCCGGCCUGAGAGGGUGACCGGCCACAUUGGGACUGAGAUACGGCCCAGACUCCUACGGGAGGCAGCAGUGGGGAAUAUUGCACAAUGGGCGGAAGCCUGAUGCAGCAACGCCGCGUGCGGGAUGACGGCCUUCGGGUUGUAAACCGCCUUCGCCUGUGACGAAGCGUGAGUGACGGUAAUGGGUAAAGAAGCACCGGCUAACUACGUG
rnacentral:rRNA from 1 species